rnacentral:misc_RNA from 1 species
GAUGAAGAACGUAGCGAAAUGCGAUAAGUAAUGUGAAUUGCAGAAUUCAGUGAAUCAUCGAAUCUUUGAACGCACAUUGCGCCCCUUGGUAUUCCGAGGGGCAUGCCUGUUCGAGCGUCAUUAUCACCCCUCAAGCUCAGCUUGGUGUUGGGGCCGGCCCGACACAGGGCCGCCCCUAAAAGCAGUGGCGGUGCCAUCUGGCUCUACGCGUAGUAAUACUCCUCGCGACAGAGUCCCGGUGGUGUCCUGCCAGAACCCCCCAUCUUUUUAAUGAUUGACCUCGGAUCAGGUAGGGAUACCCGCUGAACUUAAGCAUAUCAAUAAGCGGAGGA